CAGCUUCAAAGUCGUCAUGAAAUCUAAACUAAACUGCGAUCUCAGACUGCAACAGGUACUAGCCUAAACCGAUUCGUUCAAAUGUGAGUACUGUCUGUUCCUGUUGGUUGAGAAGUACACGUCAGCAGCCAAGUUGCACGUCAGGUCAACCUACUUGAUGUACUAUCGUUUUCCUCUUCCUGGUUUUAUGUUUGCUGCACAUGGCUCUUUUGUAGUGGGACUUCCAGUCAGAAGAGCAGCAGGCUCCUGCUCAGACAGAAAUGCAACUGGUCAGUAUGCAUUCUACAGUGCCUCUGUAGAAGGUGGCAAGAAUCGGAGGGGGGAGGAUUUGCCUCUCAUAACGUUGGUCCGACUGCCAACUCUUUUCUACCUUCCUCUCGCACCUGCAACCGGCUGACCGAGGAGGCGCAGUUCAUCUCGAGCAAGUCUAAUACUUCACAAGGAACUAACAAACUGAGGGAGUUGAAGUAGCGUGUUAAACAGAUGACCUGAUAAAUAAUCAGGAGGGCGAGAGUCACGUGAGGGAGGUCUAGGGUCAUGUGAUCUGGAGGGGCAUUCUUGGAAAUGGAGUGUGACAACGGAGCCGGAGGAAGCCAUGACACUGUUAUUUAAUUUAAAAAAUAAAGUAAUGUUGACAAAUUGUUUUGGUGAAUACAUACACAGGUCACAAGGGGUACAUUUUCUGAUUUCUCAACACUGAACUAAACUUUCAAAGUAAACUGGCUCAAAACAAUUUCUUGAGAGUCCCAUUUCUAUUUGGAAUUUCAUCCUUCAUCUUAUUUUCACCAAAUAAAGUGAUGUUGGUUUUCUCUUGAUGUGUAAUUAAGAC
ensembl:lncRNA